CGGUCAAAUCACGCUGAAAACACCGGUUCUCGUUCGAUCACCGAAGUUAAGCAUCGUAGAGCCAGGUCAGUACUUAGAUGGGGACCGCUUGGGAACACCUGGUACUGUAAG
rnacentral:rRNA from 1 species